rnacentral:rRNA from 1 species
GGAAUCUUCGGCAAUGGACGAAAGUCUGACCGAGCAACGCCGCGUGAGUGAAGAAGGUUUUCGGAUCGUAAAACUCUGUUGGUAGAGAAGAACGUUGGUGAGAGUGGAAAGCUCAUCAAGUGCCGGUAACUACCCAGAAAGGGACGGCUAAAUACGUGCCAGCAGCCGCGGUAAUACGUAGGUCCCGAGCGUUGUCCGGAUUUAUUGGGCGUAAAGCGAGCGCAGGUGGUUUAUUAAGUCUGGUGUAAAAGGCAGUGGCUCAACCAUUGUAUGCAUUGGAAACUGGUAGACUUGAGUGCAGGAGAGGAGAGUGGAAUUCCUAGUGGAGCGGUGAAAUGCGUAGAGAUUAGGAAGAACACCAGUGGCGAAGGCGAUUCUCUGGACUGUAACUGACGCUGAGGCACGAAAGCGUGGGUAGCAAACA